rnacentral:rRNA from 1 species
UACGUAGGGGGCAAGCGUUGUCCGGAAUCAUUGGGCGUAAAGAGCGUGUAGGCGGUUCGGUAAGUCGGCUGUGAAAGUCCAGGGCUCAACCCUGGGAUGCCGGUCGAUACUGUCGGACUAGAGUUCGGAAGAGGCGAGUGGAAUUCCCGGUGUAGCGGUGAAAUGCGCAGAUAUCGGGAGGAACACCUAUGGCGAAGGCAGCUCGCUGGGACGUUACUGACGCUGAGACGCGAAAGCGUGGGGAGCAAACAGG